CACUACGGCCAUGCCACCCUGAACAUGCCUGAUCUCAUCUCAUCUCAGAAGAUAAAUAGGGUUUGUAGUACUUGGAGACCACCUAGGAAUACCAGGUGCUGUAGGUG
rnacentral:rRNA from 1 species